UACGAAGGGGGCUAGCGUUGUUCGGAAUCACUGGGCGUAAAGAGCGCGCAGGCGGUCGUUCAAGUCGCGUGUGAAAGCCCCCGGCUCAACUGGGGAGGGUCACGCGAUACUGAUCGACUCGAAGGCAGGAGAGGGAAGUGGAAUUCCCGGUGUAGUGGUGAAAUGCGUAGAUAUCGGGAGGAACACCAGUGGCGAAGGCGGCCAUCUGGACGGCUAUUGACGCUGAGACGCGAAAGCAUGGGGAGCAAACAGG
rnacentral:rRNA from 1 species